UACGUAGGGUGCGAGCGUUAAUCGGAAUUACUGGGCGUAAAGCGUGCGCAGGCGGUUUUGUAAGCCAGAUGUGAAAGCCCCGGGCUUAACCUGGGAACUGCGUCCGAUACUGGAAGGCUUGAAUCCGGGAGAGGGAUCUGGAAUUCCUGGUGUAGCGGUGGAAUGCGCAGAUAUCAGGAGGAACACCGGUGGCGAAGGCGGGAUCCUGGGCCAGUACUGACGCUGAGGAGCGAAAGCGUGGGGAGCAAACAGG
rnacentral:rRNA from 1 species